GACGAACUGCCCAAACGUUGUUCGGAAUUACUGGGCGUAAAGGGCCAGUAGGCGGCCAACUAAGUCACACGUGAAAUCCCCAGGCUUAACCUGGGAACUGCGUGUGAUACUGGAUGGCUUGAAUUCGGGAGAGGGAUGCAGAAUUCCAGGUGUAGCGGUGAAAUGCGUAGAUAUCUGGAGGAAUACCGGUGGCGAAGGCGGCAUCCUGGACCGACAUUGACGCUGAACGGCGAAAGCUAGGGGAGCAAACGGG
rnacentral:rRNA from 1 species